UACAGAGGGUGCGAGCGUUAAUCGGAAUUACUGGGCGUAAAGCGUGCGUAGACGGUUAUUUAAGUCGGGUGUGAAAGCCCCGGGCUCAACCUGGGAAUUGCAUUCGAGACUGAAUAGCUAGGGUACGGUAGAGGGAAGUGGAAUUUCCGGUGUAGCGGUGAAAUGCGUAGAUAUCGGAGGAAGACCGGUGGCGAAGGCGGUCUGCUGGGCAGUUUCUGACACUGAUGCGCGACAGCGUGGGGAGCAAACAGG
rnacentral:rRNA from 1 species